rnacentral:rRNA from 1 species
AUGCAUGCAAAUCUAACAAUAGAUUCUGCAGAUGACUCCGGAGUGAAUCUGGAGGUCGUGAUAGGGAAUGAGCCGCAUGCCCAACGAGAGCUAAAGGCUGGUGAGCGCGUGCUUAAAAAGGUCAGGCAGGAGAAAAACAAUCUCCAAGAUGCCAAUAUCCAGCUGGGCGUGGAACUGAAAGAUGUUCGGGCCCAGCUUGCUGACUCCGUAAAGGAGAAUAAGAGGCUUCGACGCGGCAUUUUCAGUAAGUGCUUGAACGGACUUUUAAAGAGUCCGGCGAAGAAACCGGCUAACAGAGUUAUAUCUGCAGGUAUGCUGACGGGUCGUCCCGAGGAGGAGAUGCCCGGGUCUGCGGGUGAUCUUCUGCCAGAGCUCUCACAACUGCACGAACAAGUUCGGCAGGUGAUGCAGGGCCUUGCCCAAGCCUUGUGGCCAUCCAUCUCCCUGCCAUGA